GAUGAACGCUGGCGGCGUGCCUAAUACAUGCAAGUCGAGCGAACAGACGAGGAGCUUGCUCCUCUGAUGUUAGCGGCGGACGGGUGAGUAACACGUGGAUAACCUACCUAGAAGACUGGGAUAACUUCGGGAAACCGGAGCUAAUACCGGAUAACAUGUUGAACCGCAUGGUUCAACAGUGAAAGACGGUCUUGCUGUCACUUAUAGAUGGAUCCGCGCCGCAUUAGCUAGUUGGUAAGGUAACGGCUUACCAAGGCAACGAUGCGUAGCCGACCUGAGAGGGUGAUCGGCCACACUGGAACUGAGACACGGUCCAGACUCCUACGGGAGGCAGCAGUAGGGAAUCUUCCGCAAUGGGCGAAAGCCUGACGGAGCAACGCCGCGUGAGUGAAGAAGGUCUUCGGAUCGUAAAACUCUGUUAUUAGGGAAGAACAAAUGUGUAAGUAACUAUGCACGUCUUGACGGUACCUAAUCAGAAAGCCACGGCUAACUACGUG
rnacentral:rRNA from 1 species